rnacentral:rRNA from 1 species
GUACGGGAGGCAGCAGUGGGGAAUCUUGCACAAUGGGGGAAACCCUGAUGCAGCGACGCCGCGUGAGCGAUGAAGCCCUUCGGGGUGUAAAGCUCUUUCGGCAGGGAAGAUGAUGACGGUACCUGCAGAAGCAGCUGCGGCUAACUACGUGCCAGCAGCCGCGGUAAUACGUAGGCAGCGAGCGUUGUUCGGAGUUACUGGGCGUAAAGGGUGCGUAGGCGGUUGUUUAAGUUUGGUGUGAAAUCUCCCGGCUCAACUGGGAGGGUGCGCCGAAUACUGAAUGACUAGAGUGCGGGAGAGGAAAGUGGAAUUCCUGGUGUAGCGGUGAAAUGCGUAGAUAUCAGGAGGAACACCGGUGGUGUAGACGGCUUUCUGGACCGUAACUGACGCUGAGGCACGAAAGCGUGGGUAGCAAACAGGAUUAGAUACCCCGGUAGC